GACAUCGUUGCAGUCUCAUGUGUGGAAUCUGUAUAUUUGUAGUGGGUCUUUUGCAGUUUGUGUUUGGUCAAACUUUGGAGGAAAUCUAACGGCGAUUAAAGUGCAUUGGAUAGAAUUCUUAGAAGUAGAAUUCGAACACAAAUAUGAAUCCGGACUUGUUGCUGAAAAACAAAUGCGGAUUUUUGGAGAACGUUUUUAUUUUCUUAUGUGUAUCUAACUCGACGUAAAACAUAGAAGUGUCGAAAAGUU